UGGUGGUACAGUGGUUAAACAUUUGGCUGCUAACCAAAAGGUCUGCGGUUUGAAUCCACCAGCCA
rnacentral:tRNA from 1 species